AGUGAACGCUGGCGGUAGGCCUAACACAUGCAAGUCGAACGGCAGCACAGUAAGAGCUUGCUCUUACGGGUGGCGAGUGGCGGACGGGUGAGGAAUACAUCGGAAUCUACUUUUUCGUGGGGGAUAACGUAGGGAAACUUACGCUAAUACCGCAUACGACCUACGGGUGAAAGCAGGGGAUCUUCGGACCUUGCGCGAUUGAAUGAGCCGAUGUCGGAUUAGCUAGUUGGCGGGGUAAAGGCCCACCAAGGCGACGAUCCGUAGCUGGUCUGAGAGGAUGAUCAGCCACACUGGAACUGAGACACGGUCCAGACUCCUACGGGAGGCAGCAGUGGGGAAUAUUGGACAAUGGGAGCAAGCCUGAUCCAGCCAUACCGCGUGGGUGAAGAAGGCCUGCGGGUUGUAAAGCCCUUUUGUUGGGAAAGAAAAGCAGCAGGUUAAUACCCCGCUGUUCUGACGGUACCCAAAGAAUAAGCACCGGCUAACUUCGU
rnacentral:rRNA from 1 species